rnacentral:lncRNA from 1 species
AGCUUGAAAGGUUUGGGGUAGAUAUCUUUUGAUGUCCUUACUGGAGUGAAAAAUAAAGAGAAAUUCCUCUCCACUCUUCUCCUAAACUACCCAUUCAACACCUUGGAUCCUGAAAUUCUAGUUUAGUGACACCUCUGUUGUUAUCCAUACCUUGCAGUGACAUUUUUGGCUUUCUGUAUUUCCGUACAGUUGUGGCAGAACCUGUGCAGAAGGGGCACCUCAAUCCUACGCUCUUAGGUGAAAAGAAAUGAAUUGCUUGACAGAGCUGUAUAUUGAAGGAAUUGUAUUGAUUCACUCUUACACUUUAUUCAACCUUUUAUUUUAUUGAGCAUUGAUUGAGCACCUAUUAUAUUACAAGUUGAUGAACAAAACAGAGAAAAAUAAAAAAUAAAUAAACAAGGCCCUUUUCAUGCCUGCAGACAAACACCAAGGAUAACAGAGCAGGGAGAUGAACUUUUGAUUGAGCCCAAGGGAGCAGAUGAUUUGGAGGAGGAUAAUUCCUGGCUGAAGGGGCAAGAUGGGCAAAGGCUCUGACCACAGCUCCCCCCACAUGCAGCCUGCUCCACUCCUUUACCCCUGAGGGCACUGAAGUUUACUCUAUUUGUGAAGCUCUUUCUGUCUGUCCUGCCUGCUGCCCAGUUAAAGCUUAGAUCCCCUCUAGUGCAUCUGUGGCGGGCAGUCCCCUGCUCCCAGUGAAGCCAACUAGGCCUGCUUCAUUCCCUUCAGCAUGGCUCUGAGCAAGGACAUUCUUUGACUCAGUAUCCAUGCCUCUUGGGCUGCCCUCCAUUAUUCCUAGUUCUCCUUCAUCGGAGGCUUACACAGACUCACCGGUGUCUGAGUUAAUGACAUGGCAAUCCCUAGACCGUGCCUUGGACAGGGUCCAGCACAUUGCGAAGGACACGCUGGCUUUUAUUAUUUCAAUCAUGCCCUUCACCACCAUAAACCUAAGAGGUAGGCAGUAUUAUUAGCCUCAUUUUACAGAUUAGAGAAACAGGUUCAGAAAUAUGGAGGGACAUCCAAGGUCACACUACACAGUACAUAAAGGACUCAAUCUCAGGGACCCAGGCUCAUAAAUAGUUUUCACCAACUGCUUCA